AUGGAGGCAGCAGUGGUGAGCGUGUCGCGGGGCGCCAUAGGCUUCGUCAUUGCGAAGCUUGGCGAUCUUCUCGCCGGCAAGUACAAGCUGCUCAAGGGAGCCAAAGGAGAGAUCAUGUUCCUUAAAGCUGAGCUCGAGAGCAUGCGAGCAUUCCUGGAGAGGAUGUCGGAGGCGGAGGAGGAGCCCGACAAGCAAUCCAAGUUAUGGGCGAAGGAGGUGUGUGAUUUGUCCUAUGACAUCGAGGAUAGCGUUGACGAGUUCAUAGUCCUGGUGGAAUGUGAGUCGGACUGCGAGCCGCAUGGAUUUAAGGGAUUCAUUCAUAGGAGCAUGAACUUGUUGACGACGAUGAACGCUCGGCAUAGGAUCGCCAAGGAGUUCAGAGGCCUCAAGAGCCGUGUCGUGGAGGUGAGCGAGCGACGCAUGAGGUACAAGAUUGAUGAUGUUGUCUCCAAGCAAAACAAGACAACCAUAGACCUUCGCCUCCUGGCACUCUAUGCAGACACUGCGGGCCUUGUGGGUAUCGACGGGCCGAAGAAUGAAUUAAUUCGGCUGAUGGCAGGUGAAGAGGGUGGUUCUGCACAACCGACGAAGGUCCUCUCUAUAGUGGGGUUUGGAGGGCUUGGUAAGACUACACUUGCGAACCAGAUUUACCAGAAGCUAAAGUGGCAGUUCCAGUGUCAAGCUUUCGUUUCUGUGUCCCAGAAGCCAAGCAUAAGAAUUAUUUUGAGACGAAUGCUCUCUCAAGUUGGCUAUGUAGCGCGUGAGGGAGCCGACAUGGAAAUAUGGGCUGAGGAUGAACUGAUCAGUGAACUCAGAAAAUUCCUUAUGGAUAAGAGGUACUUCAUUGUAAUUGAUGACAUUUGGGAUGAAACUACAUGGAAUGUUAUUAGAUGCGCUCUUCCAGAAAAUUUGUACGGUAGCAUGAUAAUAACAACUACCCGAAUUAAUUCUGCGGCUAGAGCUUGCUGCUGCAAUCAACAUGACUAUAUUUAUAAGAUGAAGACGCUAAGCAACGAAGACUCAAGAAAGCUAUUUUUCAGAAGAGUAUUUGGUUCAGAGGACGCUUGCCCUCUGUAUUUGGAAGAAGUUUCAACUCAGAUUUUAAAAAGAUGUGGUGGCUUGCCUCUUGCAAUUGUGACUAUAUCUAGCCUUUUGGCUAGUGAGCGAAACAAAUUCAAGGAGCAUUGGGUGCACAUAAUGAAUUCCCUGGGACCCAAUUUCGAGGUGAAUCCAACAUUGGAAGGAAUGAGGCAAAUACUGAGCCUUAGUUACAUAAAUCUUCCUCAUUAUUUGAAGACAUGCAUGCUGUAUUUGGGUAUGUAUCCAGAGGACUAUAUAAUCUGGAAAAAUGAUUUGGUCAGGCAAUGGGUAGCCCAAGGCUUUGUAAGUAAAGCACAUGGGAAAUAUCCAGAGGACGUUGCAGAGGGCUAUUUUAACGAGCUUGUUAACAGAGGCAUCAUUCAGCCAGUUGAUACCGAUCAUAAUAAUGAAGUGUUAUCUUGCAGACUGCAUGAUAUGAUGCUUGACCUUAUUAUACACAAGUGCAGAGAUGAAAAUUUUAUCACUGCAACAGAUGACAUCCAAGACAUGAUUGGUUUGUCUGACAAGGUCCGCCGACUCUCCCUCUAUCUGGACGGUAUAAUAGAUGGCACGAUAUUGGAAACCACCCAGCUCUCACAAGUAAGAGCACUUGCAAGAUUUGGCAACUCUGCAUAUGCACCUCCUCUCUUGAAGUUCAAGCAUCUCCGAGUUUUAAGUCUUGAAUUUCGGUGGGAGAUACCUGACCUCACUGGAAUAUCUCAUUUGUUCCAACUGAGAUAUCUGAAAAUUAAAACAGAUGGUAAAAUUCAAGUUCCGUCAGGUGUUGUUCAUUUGGGCCGGUUGCAGCACCUGAUCGUCCCUCGUAGGACAAUUUUGCCCAAUGGAAUUGGCAACAUGAAAUCUUUAUGCACGCUGCAAGAGUUUGAUGUGGGCUUGAAUUCUAUAGACAACAUCAGAGACCUCGGAGAUCUCAUCAAUUUGAGGGAUCUUCGAAUAUGCGGUCAUCUUUCCAAAAUGGAUGAAUUGCAUGACAUGGAGAGAAGACAGCGUUUGGAUGUUUUGACAUGUUCCCUUGAAAAACUUUGCGACCUCAGAUAUCUGCACAUGGAUUAUAACAUCAAAGUUAGUUAUGUGUUGAGUUCGCUAUUUCUUCGGAGGCUUCAUAUGCUCUGUCCGUUUCCGAAGGUUCCUAAUGCGAUUGGAGAGCUCCAUAACCUCUUUGACCUUGAUCUCACAAUUGAGGUGUUGGAAGAUGAUAUUGCAAUCCUUGCGCAGUUGCAAUCUCUUAACCGCCUUAAAUUGCACAUCGAAGGGAAACCUGAAACUGAAGAGAAGGUAGUCAUUUGUAGAAAGGGAUUCCCUGUUCUCAAGCAUUUCUGGCUAUUCUGCGUCAGGAUGUCACAACUGACUUUUGAGGCAGGGACAAUGCCCAGUCUCGAAAAGCUCGAGGUAAGAAUCAAUUCGCUGUACGGUGCUGCACCUAUGGGCAUCGAGCACCUAUUAGGCCUCAAGGAAAUCUUUGUAUUUGUUGGGGGAUGUGGUGGCGAGGGAUCCUGCAGUAUAAGAGCUGCACUGACACUGUUAAGGAAGGCCAUUGAUAUGCGCUCAAGUCAUCCUACAGCUAACAUUAAGUGUGUUGACAAUUUGCUGCUCCUUGAGCACCUCCUUGAUGACGGCUUCAGCUGGAGGAAGUACGGCCAGAAAGAUAUCCUUGACGCCAAGCACCCGAGAGCUUACUUCCGUUGCACAUACCGAAAGUCGCAGGGAUGCUCAGCAACCAAGGAGGUGCAGCGCACAGACGAUGACCCGGAGCUCUUCCUAGUCCUGUAUAAAGGAAAGCACACGUGUAUCAUGGAAACAUCACAAGCUUCACAGGAGCAGAGGGUCCUGGUGCCACAGCUAGGGCUGCAAGAAAAGCUUUUUCUCGAGGCUCGUGAGCUGCUCGAGAUCGAGAUCGACUCAUUUUUUGACUCGACUCGAGAUCGACUCGAAAUGAAACAAGCUGAGUUUGAACACUUUAUAUAG
rnacentral:rRNA from 1 species